GAUGAACGCUAGCGGCAGGCUUAAUACAUGCAAGUCGAACGGUAAGGUCUCUUCGGAGUUACACGAGUGGCGCACGGGUGCGUAACGCGUAUGCAACCUACCUUUAACUGGGAAAUAGCCCCGAGAAAUCGGGAUUAAUGUCCCAUAUUAUUCUGAGAAUACCUAUCCUUAGAAUGAAAGCUCCGGCGGUUAUUGAUGGGCAUGCGUGACAUUAGCUAGUUGGUGAGGUAACGGCUCACCAAGGCAACGAUGUCUAGGGGUCCUGAGAGGGUUAUCCCCCACACUGGUACUGAGACACGGACCAGACUCCUACGGGAGGCAGCAGUAAGGAAUAUUGGGCAAUGGACGCAAGUCUGACCCAGCCAUGCCGCGUGAAGGGUGAAUGUCCUAUGGAUUGUAAACUUCUUUUAUGCAGGAAAAAUAUCCCGGUCGUGAACCGGGACUGAUGGUACUGUAUGAAUAAGCAUCGGCUAACUCCGUGCCAGCCGCCGCGGUAA
rnacentral:rRNA from 1 species